rnacentral:lncRNA from 1 species
AUAGAUGCUACUCAGAAAUUGUUCCAAAAAUUCAUAAAAAAAAUUACAUGUCCAACCGAAAAUAAAAAUAAAAAUAAAUGAAAAUGAAAAUUGUUCUAAAAAUACAAAAUAUGUUUUCCAACAAAUCAACUCUUCUUCUUCACUUUGGGAUCUUCAUCAUCCCACCGGCUCAAUUUUCUUCGGUCAACUUUCUUGAUUUGUCUACUGUACGGUGCUUCAAUUUCCACCGCCCCUUUCUCUUUCAGCUCCUUUAUUAUCCACUCCUUCCUUUGAUAUUUCACUUUGCUUCCCCGUCGGAGUGGUUCUUCUCUUGAUUUUGGGUGAAUGGUUCUCCUUCCUUUAUGCACUAGUGCCUGCAAAACAUUACAACUAUCAGAAUAAUUAGUAUCCGACAUGCUCUCUUCUUGUUUAGCUUCUCUCUCCGGCUCCUCAUGUCUGGACCUUUUCAUCACUUUAAUCUUGUUC